UACAGAGGUCUCAAGCGUUGUUCGGAUUCAUUGGGCGUAAAGGGUGCGUAGGCGGCGCGGUAAGUCGGGUGUGAAAUCUUGGAGCUUAACUCCGAAACUGCAUUCGAUACUGCCGUGCUUGAGGACUGGAGAGGAGACUGGAAUUUACGGUGUAGCGGUGAAAUGCGUAGAUAUCGUAAGGAAGACCAGUGGCGAAGGCGGGUCUCUGGACAGCUCCUGACGCUGAGGCACGAAGGUCAGGGGAGCAAACGGG
rnacentral:rRNA from 1 species